GUAGUUGACUCCGUGGCACAGAACGACGCUGGCGGCAGGCUUAACACAUGCAAGUCGAGCGGACCCCUCGGGGUCAGCGGCAGACGGGUGAGUAACACGUGGGAAUCUACCCAUCUCUAGGGAAUAACUCAGGGAAACUUGUGCUAAUACCCUAUACGUCCUCCGGGAGAAAGAUUUAUCGGAGAUGGAUGAGCCCGCGUUGGAUUAGCUAGUUGGUGAGGUAAUGGCUCACCAAGGCGACGAUCCAUAGCUGGUCUGAGAGGAUGAUCAGCCACACUGGGACUGAGACACGGCCCAGACUCCUACGGGAGGCAGCAGUGGGGAAUAUUGGACAAUGGGCGCAAGCCUGAUCCAGCCAUGCCGCGUGUGUGAUGAAGGCCUUAGGGUUGUAAAGCACUUUCACCGAUGAAGAUAAUGACGGUAGUCGGAGAAGAAGCCCCGGCUAACUUCGUG
rnacentral:rRNA from 1 species